AGUUGUGUGGCCGAGUGGUCUAUGGCGCCGGACUUAAGAUCCGUUCCUCGAAAGGGGGUCGUGGGUUCGAAUCCCACCGCAACUA